GAGUUUGAUCAUGGCUCAGGAUGAACGCCGGCGGUGUGCCUAAUACAUGCAAGUCGUACGCACUGGCCCAACUGAUUGAUGGUGCUUGCACCUGAUCGACGAUGGAUCACCAGUGAGUGGCGGACGGGUGAGUAACACGUAGGUAACCUGCCCUGUACAGGGGAUAACAAUCAGAAAUGACUGCUAAUACCGCAUAAGACCACAGCACCGCAUGGUGCAGGGGUAAAAACUCCGGUGGUACAGGAUGGACCCGCGUCUGAUUAGCUGGUUGGUGAGGUAACGGCUCACCAAGGCGACGAUCAGUAGCCGGCUUGAGAGAGUGAACGGCCACAUUGGGACUGAGACACGGCCCAAACUCCUACGGGAGCAGCAGUGGGGAAUAUUGCACAAUGGGGAAACCCUGAUGCAGCAACGCCGCGUGAGUGAAGAGUAUUCGGUAUGUAAAGCUCUAUCAGCA
rnacentral:rRNA from 1 species